rnacentral:tRNA from 1 species
GUUUUUAUAGUUUAAAAAAAAACAUUGAUCUUGUAAAUCAAAGAUAAUACAUAUAUAUAUAUUAUUUAAAAACU